UCGGGGUCGGGAUUCUCGACGUUUACUGUGAAAAAAUCAGAGUGUUCAACGCAGGCUUACGCCUUGAAUACAUUAGCAUGGAAUAAUGAGAUAGGACCUUGGCGGUCUAUUUUGUUGGUUUGCACGCCGAGGUAAUGAUUAAAAGGGACGGUUGGGGUUCUUCGUAUUCAAUUGUCAGAGGUGAAAUUCUUGGAUUUAUGGAAGACGAACUGCUGCGAAAGCGUCGAACAAGGACGUUCUCAUUAAUCAAGAACGAAAGUUAGGGGAUCGAAGAUGAUUAGAUACCAUCGUAGUCUUAACCAUAAACUAUGCCGAUUCAGGAUUGGCGGUCGUUUGUUCUCGACUCCGUCAGCACUGUAUGAGAAAUCAAAAUCUUUGGGUUCCGGGGGGAGUAUGGUCGCAAGGCUGAAACUUAAAGAAAUUGACGGAAGGGCACCACCAGGAGUGGAGCCUG
rnacentral:rRNA from 1 species